rnacentral:rRNA from 1 species
AUUCUAGAGCUAAUACAUGCUGGAGUGCCCGACUCACGAAGGGCCGUAUUUAUUAGAUAUCAGCCAAUAAGCAUCUGCUAUUGUGGUGACUCAUAGUAACUUAAUCGGAUCGCAUGGGCUUGCCCCGCGACAAACCAUUCAAGUUUCUGCCCCAUCAUGCUUUCGAUGGUAGUGUAUUGGACUACCAUGGCUUUCACGGGUAACGGAGGAUUAGGGUUCGAUUCCGGAGAGGGAGCCUGAGAAACGGCUACCACUUCCACGGAAGGCAGCAGGCGCGUAAAUUACCCAAUCCUGAUUCAGGGAGGUAGUG